UCUGGCGGCUGUAGCGCGGUGGUCCCACCUGACCCCAUGCCGAACUCAGAAGUGAAACGUCGUAGCGCCGAUGGUAGUGUGGGGUCUCCCCAUGCGAGAGUAGGGAACUGCCAGAC
rnacentral:rRNA from 3 species